rnacentral:rRNA from 1 species
UACGUAGGGGGCAAGCGUUGUCCGGAAUCAUUGGGCGUAAAGAGCGUGUAGGCGGCCCGAUAAGUCCGCCGUGAAAGUCCAGGGCUCAACCCUGGAAUGCCGGUGGAAACUGUCGGGCUGGAGUCCGGAAGAGGCGAGUGGAAUUCCCGGUGUAGCGGUGAAAUGCGCAGAUAUCAGGAAGAACACCCGUGGCGAAGGCGGCUCUCUGGGACGGUACUGACGCUGAGACGCGAAAGCGUGGGGAGCGAACAGG